AUGCCCAGAAGGGCACAGCUCCCAGAAGUUUUUCGGUCUGAGCAGGUGGUGCCAUGCUUUCUUUAAACCAGGCAACAGAACCAGGCCUACAUCAUCUAUCAUAAUCCAGGUUUCUUUUCCAAACAAAAGAGAAAUGGAAGAGAUCUUGGGAACUUGAAUGAGAUGGCAGGUAGCACCCAUCCCCUGGGGGGGGAUCCCUGCCACUGCCCAGGAGGAGCAGCGGAGGGCCCAGCACCCUGCUCUCCAUUGAAGAGAACUCUGACCUCAAGUGGAUAGCAGAGACAUUCGACUGAAAGAGCCUGGGACCCUGAAUGACUGCACGGUGGAGAGCUGCCUGCUAGGAACACAACACUGGCAUCCUAAACUCAACUCUAUAUAAGAUGAGGAACUGAGCAGCACAGAAUGGAGAUGAUCUGCUGAAGUCCCCAGACCUACUACCUGGUCAGGUGAGAAGUGAAUCCGAGGUCUGUCUGCUGUUGAAGAGGCAGGAAGAGUUGUGCCUUUCUUGGCUUUUCCUUUUGCCAAGGAAAGGAACAGAAUGCAGUUUUCUGAAAGGCUCAGAGGAUGAGGAUCUUUGUCAUGCUGGGCAGUCAACACCAGGAAUGCGAGUUACCUGGCAUGCAAUUGCGUUCACUCUGCCCUCAUGCCAUACAGACUAGCAAGAGUGUGGAUUGGAAUGUUAUGGAUAUCAACUCAAAUUAUUCAUGCAUAUCUACAGGCCUGCUAGUCAUUGACUAACAGUCCAUUCAAUUCAGCUGGUCUACCAGACUAGUUGGAGCAUGCUAUCUGCCACAUUGGCUUCCACGGUCAUGAAUAAAAAAUAUUGGAAA